AGUUUGAUCAUGGCUCAGAUUGAACGCUGGCGGCAGGCUUAACACAUGCAAGUCGAGCGGGGAAAGGUAGCUUGCUACCUUACCUAGCGGCGGACGGGUGAGUAAUGCUUAGGAAUCUGCCUAUUAGUGGGGGACAACAUUUCGAAAGGAAUGCUAAUACCGCAUACGCCCUACGGGGGAAAGCAGGGGAUCUUCGGACCUUGCGCUAAUAGAUGAGCCUAAGUCGGAUUAGCUAGUUGGUGGGGUAAAGGCCUACCAAGGCGACGAUCUGUAGCGGGUCUGAGAGGAUGAUCCGCCACACUGGGACUGAGACACGGCCCAGACUCCUACGGGAGGCAGCAGUGGGGAAUAUUGGACAAUGGGGGGAACCCUGAUCCAGCCAUGCCGCGUGUGUGAAGAAGGCCUUUUGGUUGUAAAGCACUUUAAGCGAGGAGGAGGCUACUCUAGUUAAUACCUAGGGAUAGUGGACGUUACUCGCAGAAUAAGCACCGGCUAACUCUGUGCCAGCAGCCGCGGUAAUACAGAGGGUGCAAGCGUUAAUCGGAUUUACUGGGCGUAAAGCGUGCGUAGGUGGCCAAUUAAGUCAAAUGUGAAAUCCCCGAGCUUAACUUGGGAAUUGCAUUCGAUACUGGUUGGCUAGAGUAUGGGAGAGGAUGGUAGAAUUCCAGGUGUAGCGGUGAAAUGCGUAGAGAUCUGGAGGAAUACCGAUGGCGAAGGCAGCCAUCUGGCCUAAUACUGACACUGAGGUACGAAAGCAUGGGGAGCAAACAGGAUUAGAUACCCUGGUAGUCCAUGCCGUAAACGAUGUCUACUAGCCGUUGGGGUCUUUGAGACUUUAGUGGCGCAGCUAACGCGAUAGUAGACCGCCUGGGAGUAC
rnacentral:rRNA from 1 species